CACGGAUCGAGGAGUCUAACUCGUACGCGAGUCCUCCGAGCUGCACACGAAGCUCUCGAGGCUCAACGAAAGUAAACGAAGUCGCGAAGCGCCUCGCGCGCUUCGCGGUGGCAAAUCCGGGAUGAGCGCGAGCGGCGCCGCGCGCGUCGCUCCGCUUUGCGUAUUCCGGCGCACGCCAGGGGCCCGUCCACAUUCGGAUUCGAACGACGCGUUCGCCUCGCGGGGCGAGCGCCUCUCGUCGAAACGAGGACGGGCACUCCGAGCGCGCGCGUUAGUACCCGAAAGAUGGUGAUCUAUGCUUGUUUAGGACGAAGCCGGGGGAAACACCGGUGGAGGUUCGUAGCGAUUCUGACGUGCAAAUCGAUCGUC
rnacentral:rRNA from 1 species